AAAACUAGCCAGUCUUUUGGGUAUGAAAUCCAUUUGGACGAGAGUAGUACUAGGAUGGGUGACCUCCUGAGAAGUCCUCGUGAAAGGGUUUC
rnacentral:rRNA from 1 species